rnacentral:rRNA from 1 species
AUUGAACGCUGGCGGCAGGCUUAACACAUGCAAGUCGAACGAGUGGCGGACGGGUGAGUAAUGCUUGGGAAUCUGGCUUAUGGAGGGGGAUAACUACGGGAAACUGUAGCUAAUACCGCAUACCAUAAGAUGUGCCCAAGUGGGAUUAGGGAGUUGGUGGGGUAAAGGCUCACCAAGCCGACGAUCACUAGCUGGUCUGAGAGGAUGACCAGCCACACUGGGACUGAGACACGGCCCAGACUCCUACGGGAGGCAGCAGUGGGGAAUAUUGCACAAUGGGGGCAACCCUGAUGCAGCCAUGCCGCGUGAGUGAAGAAGGCCUUCGGGUUGUAAAGCGCUUUCGGUAGGGAGGCGUUACCCACAGAAGAAGCACCGGCUAACUCCGUGCCAGCAGCCGCGGUAAUAC